AGUGAACGCUGGCGGUAGGCCUAACACAUGCAAGUCGAACGGCAGCACAGGAGAGCUUGCUCUCUGGGUGGCGAGUGGCGGACGGGUGAGGAAUACAUCGGAAUCUACUUUUUCGUGGGGGAUAACGUAGGGAAACUUACGCUAAUACCGCAUACGACCUGCGGGUGAAAGCAGGGGACCUUCGGGCCUUGCGCGAUUGAAUGAGCCGAUGUCGGAUUAGCUAGUUGGCGGGGUAAAGGCGCACCAAGGCGACGAUCCGUAGCUGGUCUGAGAGGAUGAUCAGCCACACGGGAACUGAGACACGGUCCAGACUCCUACGGGAGGCAGCAGUGGGGAAUAUUGGACAAUGGGCGCAAGCCUGAUCCAGCCAUACCGCGUGGGUGAAGAAGGCCUUCGGGUUGUAAAGCCCUUUUGUUGGGAAAGAAAUCCAGCUGGCUAAUACCUGGUUGGGAUGACGGUACCCAAAGAAUAAGCACCGGCUAACUUCGUGCCAGCCGCCGCCGUAA
rnacentral:rRNA from 1 species